rfam:Cyanobium gracile PCC 6307, complete genome.
CGGUUUCGAUCUGCUGGGGGCAGAUGAAGUGGAUGUGGGUGUCGAUCGCCCCGGCGGUGACGAUGUGCCCCUCCCCGGCGAUGGCUUCGGUGCCGGGCCCGACCACGAUCGUCACCCCAUCGGUGAUGUCGGGGUUGCCCGCCUUGCCGAUGGCGCAGAUGCGGCCGUCCUUCAGGCCGAUGUCGGCCUUGACGAUGCCCCACCAGUCGAGGAUCAGGGCAUUGGUGAUCACCGUGUCGACGGCCCCCUCGGAGCGGGGGGUCUGGGCCUGGCCCAUGCCGUCGCGGAUCA